AUUGAACGCUGGCGGCAGGCCUAACACAUGCAAGUCGAACGAGUGGCGUACGGGUGAGUAAUGUCUGGGAAACUGCCUGAUGGAGGGGGAUAACUACUGGAAACGGUAGCUAAUACCGCAUACCAUCGGAUGUGCCCAGAUGGGAUUAGCUAGUAGGUGGGGUAAUGGCUCACCUACGCGACGAUCCCUAGCUGGUCUGAGAGGAUGACGGGCCACACUGGAACUGAGACACGGUCCGGACUCCUACGGGAGGCAGCAGGGGGGAAUAUUGGACAAUGGGCGCAAGCUGGAUGCAGCCAUGCCGCGUGUAUGAAGAAGGCCUUCGGGUUGUAAAGUACUUUCACAGGGGAGGCGUUACCCGCAGAAGAAGCACCGGCUAACUCCGUGCCAGCAGCCGCGGUAAUUC
rnacentral:rRNA from 1 species